rnacentral:siRNA from 1 species
CAAGUAGCUUGUGCCAUAGCCA